CGCACGUUGAGUGGCGGGGGAAGGCAGAAGAACUGCCCGAGCGAGGAGCGGCUCCGAGGGCCGGGCAGCACAGUUGGGGUGCCCGCUUCGGGGCCCCCAAGAGGCUGCCGGGUCGGAGUGCAGCCUGAGACCACGGGGGGAAGGGGGUGGGUGGGCUGAGAGCAGUUCGGCGGCGAGGCUGGCCCGCCGCCCCUUCCCCCCACACCCGUCGACCUUGUGGGCAGAAGCUUCCCAGAGCUCCUUACGCCGGCGCGAUGGCGACUGCUGUGGAGACGGAGGCCUCGCAGCCGACGGAUGCGAGCUGUGAAAGUGGCGGCGGCGGAGACGACGAGAUGAAGCAGGCGCUUCCGGAGCUUGAGUCCUCCCCACAAAAUGGCGGCGGCGGCGGCCUCAACAUCGCUGAGCCCGGCGGCGGCGCUGGGCCUGAGGAGACCGCGGGGGCCGAGGCCGCCCAGAGCUUCAGCCACGAGCAGCCUCAGGACUCCUCUGAGGCGGGCGCGGCCGCCCUGCUCAGAGGCCCCGAAGAGCCCGAAAGGCCUCUUAGGAGGAGUUUUCAGAUCCCCAGGAAGAGCAGAGAAAAGAAAGGUGGUGCCUCCCCUUCUUCUCAACCCCCUCUCUCUCUCCCCUCCAUCUUUUCAUUAGAACCUUUCUAUCUUCUCUUCCCACACCCAUCUGAGAUACGUAAACACGCAUGCAGCGCCGGCCGCCUCUCCCCUCACCGCCCCGGCCGCCCAGCUGCCGCGCUUGGUGCGAGAGAAAGCGGUGGAACCACGCUCCCCUGCUGCCCCUCCCCGCGGAAGUUGGAAGUAGCUCAGGUUUGAAGCUUGUCCGUAAGGCUGCAGCUCCCAGAGAGGAAAGAUGGUGCUCGGCGCCCCUCCCUCCCAGCCCCCGAAGGCAGAGAAGCUGUUGUGUCCUCCUAAGGAUGCUUCUGAGAAGUCUCGCUAUGGAAAUAGCCCGUGGCCAUGGAUUCUGGGGCUUUCUCCAAGGCCAUUGCCAAUGUUCUGAGGACCAUGAGUGCUUCUCCCCGUGGAAAUUCUUCAGCUCUGUGUGUCUACUUGAAAUGUGCUUGAUGUCAGCGUCCUCCCUUAUUUAGAAAUCUCUAUUAGUAGAUGUGAUCCAUGCACACUGCUAUUUUCCAUCACACUUCAUUUCCAUUUAGUUUUUUCCCCCUUGUUUUUGAAGCGUUAAAUAGGUCUCUCUCUCUUUAAA